GCACUUCUGACGAGUCCCACAAUAGGACGAAACGGCCGUCCAGUGC
rnacentral:hammerhead_ribozyme from 1 species